GAAAAUAUACUUUAGACACAGCUUGCCUUGGUUUGAAGCUAUUCCAGAUAAUGAAAUUAUCUCAUUGUUUUUAUUUCUUUUUUUCUCAAUUUUAUAUUUAAACUUUUAGGCAGUGUGAUGAUUUUUUCUUUUAGUUUUGCCGGCGAGGUGUCGUUGUUUUUCCAUUUUAAGGGUACUUAUAAUAGAUUGAUUUUUAGUUAAAUUUGUAAUAUUUUUAGACGGACUUUAUAAUAAUAGAGAUUUGCACAAUCUGCAAUAUAAUGUUAAUGCUUUUAAGUCACUGUGGCAUAAACUUGUACAUCAGCUUUACUUCACAUGGUGCCCUGC
rnacentral:lncRNA from 1 species